ACACACCUGAAAGAAACUAGUGGUGAGUUCUUUCCUUAUAAUAAUGUGACAUAAAAGACCUACCUGUGUGUUAUUUUUCUUUGUCUUCAGGUGACAAGUCUAAAGAAAUCCUGGAAACUGAUCCUUGGAGGUUUUUCCACAUGAGGCAGAACCCUGGAAAAUCAUGGUUCUGACUCAGAUAGACAUUCAUCAACAGCAGAGGUUAUCCACUUCUGAAAGCCUCCAACGUGUACAAGGGACAAGGAACCAGGGACAGAGAGAGGCAGGAUUAAUGUGCCCUGUCAUAAGGGGUGGCAUCCCAUCAGCCCCAGCCAGCAGACUUCUUCAUGGGAUUGGUAGACCCAAAUAUCUGGUGGACUGCAGUUCCUCACCCCCGAUUUAAUGCAAUAUUAAGGAGUGUCUGGCUUCAAACUGAAGCUUAUUAAGAAAAGUUUAUGCAAAGAGAAGAAAUGGCCUUUUUAUUCUUCAAAGAAUGCUGGUUGUGGUUUAUGUAAAAGAGCCUGAAUUUUCUGCAUCAAUGGAAGCACUAAAUCAAAAUGACCAAUAUACAAGUGCAAUUUAGUAGGUAAUGGACAAAAGCUUGCAAAUAAAGGUGACUUAGCUCAGUUUAUGUCUAAUGGA
rnacentral:lncRNA from 1 species